rnacentral:rRNA from 1 species
CCUACGGGAGGCAGCAGUGAGGAAUAUUGGUCAAUGGCCGGAAGCCUGAACCAGCCAAGUAGCGUGAGGGAUGACUGCCCUAUGGGUUGUAAACCUCUUUUAUGCGGGGAUAAAGGUGCCCACGUGUGGAUGUUUGCAGGUACCGCAUGAAUAAGGACCGGCUAAUUCCGUGCCAGCAGCCGCGGUAAUACGGAAGGUCCGGGCGUUAUCCGGAUUUAUUGGGUUUAAAGGGAGCGUAGGCCGGUCUUGAAGCGUGCCGUGAAAUUUUGUGGCUCAACCAUGGGAGUGCAGCGCGAACUGGAGACCUUGAGUGCGCGGAAGGCAGGCGGAAUUCGUGGUGUAGCGGUGAAAUGCUUAGAUAUCACGAAGAACCCCGAUUGCGAAGGCAGCCUGCCGCAGCGUUACUGACGCUGAUGCUCGAAAGCGCGGGUAUCGAACAGGAUUAGAUACCCCAGUAGUC